rnacentral:rRNA from 1 species
AAGCGGUGGAGCAUGUGGUUUAAUUCGAUGCAACGCGAAGAACCUUACCUGGGUUUGACAUCCCGCGAAUCUCCAGGAGACUGGGGAGUGCCCUUCGGGAGCGCGGAGACAGGUGCUGCAUGGCUGUCGUCAGCUCGUGCCGUGAGGUGUUGGGUUAAGUCCCGCAACGAGCGCAACCCUUGUUGCCAGUUGCCACCAGGUAAUGCUGGGCACUCUGGCGAGACUGCCCGGGUCAACCGGGAGGAAGGUGGGGACGACGUCAAGUCAUCAUGGCCCUUACAUCCAGGGCUACACACGUACUACAAUGGCAGAUACAAAGGGUUGCCAAGCCGCGAGGCUGCGCCAAUCCCAGAAAGUCUGUCUCAGUCCGGAUUGCAGUCUGCAACUCGACUGCAUGAAGCUGGAAUCGCUAGUAAUCCCGGAUCAGCAUGCCGGGGUGAAUACGUUCCCGGGCCUU